GAUUACCGGUAUAGCCAUUCUUUUUUAGGUCGCUGAUGACAAUCAUCAAUCAUCAGCGACCUAAAAAAGAAUGGCUAUACCGGUAAUUUCA
rnacentral:pre_miRNA from 1 species